AUUGAACGCUGGCGGCAGGCCUAACACAUGCAAGUCGAGCGGGGUUUUCGGACCUAGCGGCGGACGGGUGAGUAAUGCGUAGGAAGCUACCCGAUAGAGGGGGAUACCAGUUGGAAACGACUGUUAAUACCGCAUAAUGUCUACGGACCAAAGUGUGGGACCUUCGGGCCACAUGCUAUCGGAUGCGCCUACGUGGGAUUAGCUAGUUGGUGGGGUAAUGGCUCACCAAGGCGACGAUCCCUAGCUGGUUUGAGAGGAUGAUCAGCCACACUGGAACUGGGACACGUGCCAGACUCCGACGGGAGGCAGCGGUGGGGAAUAUUGGACAAUGGGCGCAAGCCGGAUCCAGCCAUGCCGCGUGUGUGAAGAAGGCCUUCGGGUUGUAAAGCACUUUCAGUAGGGAGGAAGGGUGUUGUGUUAAUAGCACAGCAUUUUGACGUUACCUACAGAAGAAGCACCGGCUAACUCUGUGCCAGCCGCCGCCGUAAAAC
rnacentral:rRNA from 1 species